UCCCUUCCACCCCACAGACCUUAUGACUGUGCUAUUGACUUGCUGCCUGGAACCACACCCCCACGAGGGAGGUUGUUCUCUCUUUCAGGGCCGGAACACAAGGCCAUGAAGGAAUACGUAGAAGAAUCACUGGCAGCUGGGAUCAUUCGCCCAUCUUCAUCCCCUGCGGGAGCAGGAUUUUUCUUCGUGGACAAGAAAGACAAGACCCUGCGACCCUGUAUCGAUUACCGGGGUCUCAAUGAGAUCACGGUAAAAAACAGCAGUUACUGCAGAAUCAACUCUAUGUCAAGGCUGAGAAAU